CUGUCGGGGCUUCACCAGGACCGCCCUUUGUCCUUCCCAGCGUCCCACACACGCAACCCCCCAGCCCAGGGUCAGUGGUGCCCACACUCUUGGCCCAUCUGCGGUCACUGCCUCAUUACCGCUGCAGGGUUCUACGAUCCAGGGAAGAAAGGCAAACAGAGAGGAUGCCUGAACUGUCCUAAAAACAGUUCACCACUGAGAACCCGUGAGGAAAAAUGCCAAGACUCCCCUGCCUUUUGCUGGAGAGUUCUGAACUUCUAACUUGAAGACUCUAUGACAUCGAUGAGACGAUGCCUAUGAUGGAAUCUCACUGCAAUGGACAAUGGACACACAGUUUCCAGCUUUUUGUGCACAAGGACUCUGAGCUAUCUGCAUAUCCCAACAGUUCACCACAAUCAACUAUCUUCUUUCCUACUUACAUUCCUGGAAGUGGAUCCAGCCUGCAUCAGGAAGCACUGCCUCAAGUUCCUGCUCUGACCCACAUUUCUGUGUGGACCUCCUACUGCUGACUUGCACCACUUGUGUUUAACACUGUGACAUUUCACGAGAGAAAACUGGUUUCUGCAAACCCUGAGCCGGAAGCCCUGGGAGGCAGAAUGUGUGGAUCAACCGCCCCUCAAAGUCCCCUUCCUGACUGUGAUCCCUCAGGGUGGGUCCCAGA
rnacentral:lncRNA from 1 species